UACGUAGGGACCAAGCGUUGUUCGGAUUUACUGGGCGUAAAGGGCGCGUAGGCGGCGCGGUAAGUCACUUGUGAAAUCUCUGAGCUUAACUCAGAACGGCCAAGUGAUACUGCAGUGCUAGAGUGCAGAAAGGGCAAUCGGAAUUCUUGGUGUAGCGGUGAAAUGCGUAGAUAUCGGAAGGAACAUCAGUGGCGAAGGCGGCCAGCUGGGCCGUCCCUGACGCUGAGGCGCGAAGGCGUGGGGAGCGAACAGG
rnacentral:rRNA from 1 species